UUUUAUGUGUAUAGGUGUUUUAGCUGCAUCUGUGUCUGUGCACCACACGUGGAGGUCAGAAGAGGGCAUCUGAUCCUCUGGAACUGGACUUAUGAGUGGUUUGUGAACCACCAUGUGGAUGCUGGGAAUCAAACCUAGGUCCUCUGGGAGAGCAGCUAGCACUCUUCACCAGCAAGCCAUCUCUCCAGCCCCUUUAUUUUUUAUUUUGAGACAGAAUCAUGUUAAGUUAAGGAGGCUGGUCUCUGUAGCCGGGUCAGGCCUUAAAUGUCCACCCUUGUGUGUCAGUCCUGGGAUUAUAGCCCUCUUAUCCAGCUGCGCAGUUAUCACCUAUUUAUCUCUCAAGCAACAGGUGUUGGAUUUCCAGCCUGCAUCUGUCCUAACCCUUGGGCCCAGGGACAUCUUCAGCUUCCUUUAGCUCUGACAUACCUAGGUUGUUGGGUCACCCUUCCUUUCUGUUCUUUUUUUCCUGGUCUGAAGUAGCAUUAGUCAGUUAGGCCCACCCCCAGGCUACAACUUCAUCUGCUCUUAGGGACCUGAGCACUGUGAGAUGUUUGGCAUUCUACCUUCUGACCCAGCAGAUGGGCCCUGGGAGAUGAGGGCCUGGGGCCUGGGCCGGCUAUGCCCUUCAGGCCCUCGGGAUCCUGGAACACCCUAUGGUGGAGUGUUUGGUUGGGCCUUAGCUUCUUAGCUCUUUUUUAACUGUAAGCCACCGAUACUGUGUGGCUUGGGACACUCGUCUCCAGUGUUUCUUUCAUGUGAACUUGAGGCUUGAAGCUUCCAGGUGCUUUGUGACUGAGCUAGGUCUUAGCUCUUGGCCUUUAGGUUUUUUUUUUUAAAUGUGAUUUUUUAAAAAAGAUCUAUUUAUUUAUUUUAUGUAUAUGAGUACACCAUUGCUCUCUUCAGACACAGCAGAAGAGAGCAUCAGAUCUCAUUACAGAUGGUCGUAAGCCACCAUGUGGUUGCUGGGAAUUGAACUCAGGACCUCUGGAAGAGCAGUCGGUGCUCUUAACCACGGAGCCAUCUCUCCAGCCAGGCCUUUAGUUUUUAAAACCUCAGAUACAAUCCAUCAGCCAUACUAAGAGGCCUGAGCAAGGGGAAUCAGGCCAAUCGCUACCGGCAGCCAUUGCUAGACAAAUAACAGUCAACGGAUGGAAGUAAGAACACAGGCUUUGUUGGAACCCAUGAGCUGUAACCCCAGCACCUGGCUCAGUAGCACCCAUUCGCAGGGGGUGGCAGCUCACAUCUUCCAUAACCCUAAAGAGUUAUGGAUCAAGCUGGGCAGUGGUGGCGCAAGCCUUCAGUCCCAGCACUUGGGAGGCAGAGGCAGGCGGAUUUCUGAGUUUGAGGCCAGCCUGGUCUACAGAGUGAGUGCCAGGACAGCCAGGGCUACACAGAGAAACCCCAUCUCGAAAAACC
rnacentral:lncRNA from 1 species